rnacentral:misc_RNA from 1 species
GAUGAAGAACGUAGCGAAAUGCGAUAAGUAAUGUGAAUUGCAGAAUUCAGUGAAUCAUCGAAUCUUUGAACGCACAUUGCGCCCCUUGGUAUUCCGGGGGGCAUGCCUGUUCGAGCGUCAUUAUAACCCCUCAAGCUCAGCUUGGUGUUGGGGCCUGCCGACUGGCAGCCCUUAAAAUCAGUGGCGGCGCCAUCUGGCUCUAAGCGUAGUAAUUUCUCUCGCUAUAGAGUCCCGGUGGAUGCUUGCCAGCAACCCCCAACUUUCUAUGGUUGACCUCGGAUCAGGUAGGGAUACCCGCUGUACUUAAGCAUAUCAAUAAGCGGAGGA